CUUCUUCCUCCUCUCACCCUUCGCCCAAAUGAUAAACAGCUGUCUUAGACUCCUCACAGCCCCGUAUAACAACCUUCCUUCUAGAAGAGAUGGGCUUCAUCCUCCAUUCUCCUGCUUUCUCGACCUCUUUCUCUUUUCAAGUUUUUGGUGAUAUUUAUGAUGUAGGUCAAGACAGCAGUUUUCCCAGGACCCUUUGAGACCAGGAAUCAAAGCUCCAUACUUCUACCCGAAUGCCACCUUCACUUUCUGGUCCGAUUGGGACAAUUUAAAUGGUGGCGAGCAUGAGAGGUGUGUCCCCAGAAGAAAGUGGACAAGUGAAUUUAUGACUCAGGAGGACACAGUGAGAAAAAAGAGAAAAGAACCAAGGCUCGCAGGAGUAGAGGCCUCACCAAAAUAAUGUUCAUGUUUAAUGUGUGGGAAGCUGGCCCACUUCCUCUUCCCUGACACCUGGUUUCAGAACGUUGCUCACUCUGAUGAAGUGAGGUGCAUGCUGUGAGCCAAGCUGUAGAGAUUUCCACCCAGCUAGAAGCUGAGAGUGACCUCUGGCCAGCACCAGUGAGGAACUGAGACUAGCCAGCAACCGCACGAGUGAGCCUGCAUGUAGAUCCUUCCCCACAUGAGCCUUGAGAUGGGACCCCAGCCCCACUGACACUUGGACUGCAGCCUGUAAGAGACCCUGCUCAGAAGACCCAGCUCAGCCAUGCCUGGAUUCCAGAUCCACAGAAACUGUUUGAUAAUACGUGUUGUUCUUUCUCUUUUUGUGACAGGGUCUUGCUCUGUCACCCAGGCUGGAGUGCAGUGGUGCAAUUUCAGCUCACUGCAGCCUCGAACUGCUGGACUCAAGCAAUCCUUCCACUCCAGCCUCCUGAAUAGCUUGGACUACUGUGCAAGCCACCAUGCCUGGCUAAUUUUUAAAAUUUUAUGUAGAGAUGUGGUCUUGCUGUGUUGCCCAGGCUCAAACUCCUGAGCUUAAGCCAUCUGCCUGCCUCGGCCUCCCAAAGUGCUGGGACUACAGGCAUGAGCCACCAUGCCUGGCCAGCAUGUUGUUCUUUUAAACCACAUUAACUUUGGGGAUAAGUUUUAAACCACUAAGGUUUGGGAUAAGCCACUACGUUAGACAGAAUGGAUAGCUAACAUGACAAGGCUAGGGAUGAGUGGUGUGGCUCUGUAACCCAGCACACAAAGCAGGUGAAUAUGUAACCCAAGGUGAGGCCAAAUGUGAUAAGAAAGGCAGAGAGGGCCAGGAUGCUUGGAAGGAGACAGAUGUCAGCUGCUCCCUCAACAUCUGGUCCCUUCUGUGCAGUUUGCCCUUUGAUGGCACCUUCUCGGUCUCCAUCAGAACAGCAGCUGUUCCCUCUCACACUCACUCCACUGCCAUGUCUGAACCAGGCAGCUGUGACAGCGUGUGGGAUGCACUGCAGUGAGACUCAGCCAGGUCUUUGGGGAAUCUUCCCCUACAGUUUUUUCCCUCCGCAGCGCCAACGGUCAUUCUCUAAUCCACACCCUCAACUCAAUACCAGAAACCCCAGAGACUGAGAAAGAAUCAUUGCUGAAGCCAGCUCCCAACUGUCCCUGAGACCCACAGCCUUCGUCCUUGAAGCAUCCCCUCUCCCAGGGGCCAUGGGACCAAAGGAAUGAGCUUGCAAGGAAGGGAAUAUAAGUUCUCCCUCAGAUAAGCCCCAAUUCUCCACCCCCUGCUGAGUACACAGAUUCCAGGAAUAUUUCCUUGUCUCAUAAUGCAUAUACUUUUAGCAAUCAACAUGUCCCUAAUACAUGAAUUCUUAUACACGGUUUCUCUGAGAUGACAAAGUCUGUGAAUGAAGAGCCUGAGCUCCUACCACUCUCUUUACAUGGUACUCAUGUGGUUGCCUGACGGUAGAUGGUGGAGACUCCUGGGACUCUACCAAGCACCAUCGGGGUAAUGUACCAGACACUCAGUGGACAAGCCUCAGACCUCAUUUCACCAAGGCAGAGAGCUCAGAGCUUCUGGACUGGAGCGCAGAGAGGCAGUUCAGGUCAGGUUGACCCUGUCAGAUGUCCUUCCAGGGAACAUCUGCUGCCUCCUCCUUUCCAGCAUCAAUUUUCCCUUCUCCUAGAAUUUGUUCAUUCGUUCAGCCUUGGUGCACCUCUUCCUCUAGCUCCUCUGGCUCUAGGUGGGGAGUCCAGCCAGCCACUCAGUGUGUUUGAGGGCCUUGGCUACAGUAACUAGAUAAGGGAGGCCACAAAAUCCCAGUGAGGAUAAGACUUAAAUUCAGGACUUUGCUGGAACUAGUGGGAAGGAGAGGAGGCACUUUCUGCUGGAGUUGCAGAGAAGAGAGGAUGAAAGCCUGGAACCUCCCGAAAAACGCUGAUAAAGAAUGAAGCCAACACAGAGCAAAUCCAAGCUGAGCGGUGGAGGGAGGCUUGGUCCUUAGGGUACCACAUGCAUCCUCAGACCCAGUCAUGCCCAAAUUUACCACCCCGUACACUUCCUCCUUAGCCUGCCAUGGAGUUUCAGGGACAUACCCACCUCCUGCUGGAGACGAUGGGCACUCUCCAACCC
rnacentral:lncRNA from 10 species